UUUCUAUGUCCAUCCAAUAAGAAUAAUUCUAACCCGAUCUUACGUUGCAGAAUUUUACUUUCCUAAUUAAGAUUUACUAUUUCUAAAUUACAUAAGCUAAUAUAUCUGGAUAAUUGGCUGGUAUUCUAUUUUUAAAGUUAAAAGUAAUCUAGAGUUCAUUGGUCCACCUGCAGAAAUGGAAUUACGAAUGUAAUAUAUUAUUAAAGAACCAUGACUCUCUAAUGUUGGAAUCACCAACUUUUAUCGAAGUAUAUUCUGCAUUUUAGUAAAAUUAAUUUAAUUAAAUUAAUUAAAACCAGCAUAAUUACUAGUUAUUUAGUAGAUUUUCUAUCUGAUUUGUAGAUAUGUCCCAGGAAUGAUGAGAGAAUUGUAUGAAAAUAGAAACUUUUUCAGAG